GGGGCUCUCUCUCUCCCCACAGCUGCAGCCCAGGCAGCUGCGGCCGCUCAGGCAGCAGCCGCAGCCAAGGCAGCCAAGUUCGGUGCUGGAGGAGCAGGAGCCUUGGGAGGUCUGGUGCCAGGGGUCGGAGACGGAGUGGCAGGUGUCCCAGGCACAGGAGUGGUGCCAGGAGCAGGGAUUCCAGCCGCUGCAGCCGCCAAAGCCGCUGCCAAAGCCGCCCAGUUUGGGUUAGGGCCCGGUAUUGGCGUGGGUCCCGGUGUGGGUCCCGGCGUGGGUCCUGGCAUUGGUCCUGGCAUUGGCAUUGUCCCCGGUGCUGUUACAGGAGUAGGGGCCCCCGCUGCAGCCAAAGCCGCUGCGAAAGCAGCCGCCAAAGCCCAGUUCCGUAAGUACCCAAGCCUGAGCUGCACCACGCCCCCCCCCCAAUGAUACGCAGCCUCAUUAGGUCCCAGAGAGGCCACCAGAGGGUAGGAAGCACAGAUUGAGCAUGAGGGAGACCUGGGUUCAAGUCCUGAGUCCCACACUAGUGAAGUGACCUCUGAGUUCCCUCCCUGUCCUCAUGUGUGACACAUGGGGUGUCCA
rnacentral:lncRNA from 1 species